GUGCUCGCUUUGGCAGCAUGUGUACUAAAUUGGAAUGGUAUGGAGAAAAUUAGCAUGGCCCCUCCCUGUGCAAGGAUGACACAAAUUUGUGAAGCAUUCCAUAUUAAA